rnacentral:rRNA from 1 species
UCAGGACGAACGCUGGCGGCGUGCUUAACACAUGCAAGUCGAACGAUGAAGCUGGAGCUUGCUCCGGUGGAUUAGUGGCGAACGGGUGAGUAACACGUGAGCAAUCUGCCCUUGACUCUGGGAUAACUGCGGGAAACUGUAGCUAAUACCGGAUAUGAGGCUUGGAGGCAUCUCCAGGCUUGGAAAGAAUUUCGGUCAAGGAUGAGCUCGCGGCCUAUCAGCUAGUUGGUGAGGUAAUGGCUCACCAAGGCGACGACGGGUAGCCGGCCUGAGAGGGUGACCGGCCACACUGGGACUGAGACACGGCCAAGACUCCUACGGGAGGCAGCAGUGGGGAAUAUUGCACAAUGGGCGAAAGCCUGAUGCAGCAACGCCGCGUGAGGGAUGAAGGCCUUCGGGUUGUAAACCUCUUUUAGCAGGGAAGAAGCGAAAGUGACGGUACCUGCAGAAAAAGCACCGGCUAACUACGUGCCAGCAGCCGCGGUAAUACGUAGGGUGCAAGCGUUGUCCGGAAUUAUUGGGCGUAAAGAGCUCGUAGGCGGUUUGUCGCGUCUGCUGUGAAAAUCCGAGGCUCAACCUCGGACUUGCAGUGGGUACGGGCAGACUAGAGUGCAGUAGGGGAGAAGGGAAUUCCUGGUGUAGCGGUGGAAUGCGCAGAUAUCAGGAGGAACACCGAUGGCGAAGGCACUUCUCUGGGCUGUAACUGACGCUGAGGAGCGAAAGCGUGGGGAGCGAACAGGAUUAGAUACCCUGGUAGUCCACGCCGUAAACGUUGGGCGCUAGAUGUGGGCCACAUUCCACGUGGUCCGUGUCGCAGCUAACGCAUUAAGCGCCCCGCCUCGGGAGUACGGCCGCAAGGCUAAAACUCAAAGGAAUUGACGGGGGCCCGCACAAGCGGCGGAGCAUGCGGAUUAAUUCGAUGCAACGCGAAGAACCUUACCAAGGCUUGACAUAUAGAGGAAAAGUUCAGAAAUGAUCUCCCUAGCAAUAGUCUCUAUACAGGUGGUGCAUGGUUGUCGUCAGCUCGUGUCGUGAGAUGUUGGGUUAAGUCCCGCAACGAGCGCAACCCUCGUCCUAUGUUGCCAGCACGUUAUGGUGGGAACUCAUGGGAGACUGCCGGGGUCAACUCGGAGGAAGGUGGGGAUGACGUCAAAUCAUCAUGCCCCUUAUGUCUUGGGCUUCACGCAUGCUACAAUGGCCGAUACAAAGGGCUGCAAUACCGCGAGGUGGAGCGAAUCCCAUAAGGUCGGUCUCAGUUCGGAUUGGGGUCUGCAACUCGACCCCAUGAAGUCGGAGUCGCUAGUAAUCGUAGAUCAGCAACGCUACGGUGAAUACGUUCCCGGGCCUUGUACACACCGCCCGUCAAGUCACGAAAGUCGGUAACACCCGAAGCCGGUGGCCUAACCGUAAGGAAGGAGCCGUCUAAGGUGGGAUCGGUGAUUGGGACU